rnacentral:rRNA from 1 species
UACGGAAUGUGCAAACGUUAUUCGGAAUCACUGGGCUUAAAGAGUCCGUAGGCGGCAUGUUAGGUGAGGUGUGAAAUCCCCCCGGCUCAACCGAGGAAUUGCGCUUCAAACCGGCGUGCUCGAGGAAGAUAGAGGUGGGCGGAACUGAUGGUGGAGCGGUGAAAUGCGUUGAUAUCAUCAGGAACACCGGAGGCGAAGGCGGCCCACUGGGUCUUUUCUGACGCUGAGGGACGAAAGCUAGGGGAGCGAACGGG